UACGUAGGGGGCAAGCGUUGUCCGGAUUUAUUGGGCGUAAAGAGCGUGUAGGCGGCCAGGUAGGCCGGUUGUGAAAACUCGAGGCUCAACCUCGAGAUGUCGACCGAAACCAUCUGGCUAGAGUCCGGAAGAGGAGAAUGGAAUUCCCGGUGUAGCGGUGAAAUGCGCAGAUAUCGGGAAGAACACCCGUGGCGAAGGCGGUUCUCUGGGACGGUACUGACGCUGAGACGCGAAAGCGUGGGGAGCGAACAGG
rnacentral:rRNA from 1 species